AAGGGGAGUGCAGGAUCCUGGGCUGUGUCCCCCAGCACCCGGGCUCCAGGGUCUGCAGUGCUGGAACCAUGUUCCCGGGGCCGUGCAGCCCCAU
rnacentral:pre_miRNA from 1 species